rfam:Asian citrus Psyllid, Diaphorina citri - Florida Strain, whole genome shotgun sequence.
GCUCCCAUGGCGUAGUGGUCACUCCGCUCGCCUUACAUGCGGGAGACCCGGGUUCGAUUCCCGGCGGGGUCA